UACGGGGGGUGCGAGCGUUGUCCGGAAUCACUGGGCGUAAAGGGCGCGUAGGUGGUUUGAUAAGGGUGUGGUGAAAGUCCGGGGCUCAACCCCGGAUCUACCGUGCCGACUGUCAAACUCGAGGGCUGUAGAGGCAGACGGAAUUCCGGGUGUAGCGGUGAAAUGCUUAGAUAUGACAUAGAACACCAAUUGCGAAGGCAGCUAACUACGCGAAUAUUGACGCUGAGGCACGAAAGCGUGGGGAUCAAACAGG
rnacentral:rRNA from 1 species